GGAAUGCGAUAAGUAAUGUGAAUUGCAGAAUUCAGUGAAUCAUCGAGUCUUUGAACGCACAUUGCGCCCCCUGGCAUUCCGGGGGGCAUGCCUGUCCGAGCGUCAUUGCUGCCCUUCAAGCCCGGCUUGUGUGUUGGGUCGUCGUCCCCUCCGGGGGACGGGCCCGAAAGGCAGCGGCGGCACCGCGUCCGGUCCUCGAGCGUAUGGGGCUUUGUCACCCGCUCGAUAAGGACCGGCCGGGCGCCAGCCGGCGUCUCCAACCUUUUUUUCUCAGGUUGACCUCGGAUCAGGUAGGGAUACCCGCUGAACUUAAGC
rnacentral:misc_RNA from 1 species